rnacentral:rRNA from 1 species
ACGAAAGUCUGAUGGAGCAAUACCAUGUGAACGAUGAAGGCCUUUUUGGUUGUAAAGUUCUUUUACGAGGGAUAAUUAUGAUAGUACUUCGUGAAUAAGUGACAGCAAACUAUGUGCCAGCAGCUGCGGUAAUACAUAGGUCGCGAGCAUUAUUCGGAUUUAUUGGGCGUAAAGCAAGCGCAGGCGGAUGUGUAAGUUCUGUGUUAAAUGCAGCUACUCAAUAGUUGUAUGCACCGAAUACUACAUGUCUAGAUUGUGGUAGGGAGUUUCGGAAUUAAGCAUGGAGCGGUGGAAUGUGUAGAUAUGCUUAAGAACACCAGAGGCGAAGGCGGAAACUUAGGCCAUAAAUGACGCUUAGGCUUGAAAGUGUGGGGAGCAAAUGGGAUUAGAUACCCCAGUAGUCCACACCGUAAACGAUGGGUAUUAGAUAUUAGGGCUUUAGCUUUAGUGUUGUAGCUUACGCGUUAAAUACCCCGCCUGGGUAGUACAUAUGCAAAUAUGAAACUCAAAGGAAUUGACGGGGACCUGAACAAGUGGUGGAGCAUGUUGCUUAAUUCGAUAAUACACGAAAAACCUUACCAAGGUUUGACAUCCCUCGCAAA